AUUGAACGCUAGCGGCAUGCUUUACACAUGCAAGUCGAACGAGUGGCGGACGGGUGAGUAAUAUAUCGGAACGUGCCCAGUAGCGGGGGAUAACUACUCGAAACAGUGGCUAAUACCGCAUACUCUUGGAGCUGCCCAUAUCGGAUUAGCUAGUUGGUGGGGUAAAGGCUCACCAAGGCAACGAUCCCUAGCUGGUCUGAGAGGACGACCAGCCACACUGGGACUGAGACACGGCCCAGACUCCUACGGGAGGCAGCAGUGGGGAAUAUUGGACAAUGGGCGAAAGCCUGAUCCAGCCAUGCCGCGUGUAUGAGAAGGCCUUCGGGUUGUAAAGUACUUUCGGCAGAGAAGCGGUAUCUGCAGAAUAAGCACCGGCUAACUACGUGCCAGCAGCCGCGGUAAUUC
rnacentral:rRNA from 1 species